ACAUUUUUGGCAUAAGAAGAACCUGCAAUGUAUAAAGAAUAUGCUCUAUAAACACUACAUCCUUAAGGUGUUGACAAGGGCAAAGUUUAAGUUUAAUGUUUUUAACUCGGUUAUUACAUUUCUGCAUAAAUAAAUUGAUGUUUUUAGAAAGAAAAGAUGAGAGAACUUGUUCUAGUAGGGAUGUUUGGGACCCACCGUGAAUGCUGUCAUCCUCACUG